GUCGAACGAUGAAGCCGGAGCUUGCUCUGGUGGAUUAGUGGCGAACGGGUGAGUAACACGUGAGUAACCUGCCCCUGACUCUGGGAUAAGCGCUGGAAACGGCGUCUAAUACCGGAUAUGCGCUGUAACCGCAUGGUUUGCAGCGGGAAAGAUUUAUCGGUUGGGGAUGGACUCGCGGCCUAUCAGCUUGUUGGUGAGGUAAUGGCUCACCAAGGCGUCGACGGGUAGCCGGCCUGAGAGGGUGACCGGCCACACUGGGACUGAGACACGGCCCAGACUCCUACGGGAGGCAGCAGUGGGGAAUAUUGCACAAUGGGCGCAAGCCUGAUGCAGCAACGCCGCGUGAGGGAUGACGGCCUUCGGGUUGUAAACCUCUUUUAGCAGGGAAGAAGCCUUCGGGUGACGGUACCUGCAGAAAAAGCGCCGGCUAACUACGUGCCAGCAGCCGCGGUAAUACGUAGGGCGCAAGCGUUAUCCGGAAUUAUUGGGCGUAAAGAGCUCGUAGGCGGUUUGUCACGUCUGCUGUGAAAACUGGAGGCUCAACCUCCAGCCUGCAGUGGGUACGGGCAGACUAGAGUGCGGUAGGGGAGAUUGGAAUUCCUGGUGUAGCGGUGGAAUGCGCAGAUAUCAGGAGGAACACCGAUGGCGAAGGCAGAUCUCUGGGCCGUUACUGACGCUGAGGAGC
rnacentral:rRNA from 1 species